rnacentral:tRNA from 1 species
UGGGGAAUAGCUCAGUGGUUGAGUGCAUGGUUAACAUGUACAAGAUCCUGGGUUCAAUCCCCAGUACCUCCA